UCUGGUGAUGCUGCCAUUGUUGAUAUGGUCCCUAGCAAGCCCAUGUGUGUUGAGAGUUUCUCUGACUAUCCUCUACUUGGUCAUUUUGCUGUUUGUGAUAUGAGGCAGAUAGUUGCUGUGGGUGUCAUCAAAGCUGUGGACAAGAAGGCUGCUGGAGCUGACAAAGUCACCAAGUCUGCCCAGAAAGCUCAGAAGGCUAAAUGA
rnacentral:lncRNA from 1 species